CAGAAAACCAUACACAAGAUCUCAGAUGAGGUAAGACUACCCGCCGAAUUUAAGCAUAUCAAUAAGCGGAGGA
rnacentral:rRNA from 1 species